GACAGAGGGUGCAAGCGUUAAUCGGAAUUACUGGGCGUAAAGCGCAUGUAGGUGGUUUAGUAAGUUGGAUGUGAAAGCCCUGGGCUUAACCUGGGAGCUGCAUUCAAAACUGCUAAGCUAGAGUAGAGUAGAGGGAAGUGGAAUUUCCGGUGUAGCGGUGAAAUGCGUAGAUAUCGGAAGGAACACCAGUGGCGAAGGCGGCUUCCUGGACUCAUACUGACACUGAGGUGCGAAAGCGUGGGGAGCAAACAGG
rnacentral:rRNA from 1 species